rnacentral:rRNA from 1 species
UGCAACCUGAACUCAGAUGUGAUUACCCGCUGAACUUAAGCAUAUCAUUUAGCGGAGGAAAAGAAACUAACAAGG